GGCUUUUUAGUAUUAUUAUUGGUAUUUUUGUUUUCCAAACAGAAGGUUUAUAAGCUA
rnacentral:tRNA from 1 species